rnacentral:rRNA from 4 species
AAAUUGAAGAGUUUGAUCAUGGCUCAGAUUGAACGCUGGCGGCAGGCCUAACACAUGCAAGUCGAACGGUAACAGGAAGCAGCUUGCUGCUUCGCUGACGAGUGGCGGACGGGUGAGUAAUGUCUGGGAAACUGCCUGAUGGAGGGGGAUAACUACUGGAAACGGUGGCUAAUACCGCAUAACGUCGCAAGACCAAAGAGGGGGAUCUUCGGGCCUCUUGCCAUCAGAUGUGCCCAGAUGGGAUUAGCU